rnacentral:rRNA from 1 species
GACGAACGCUGGCGGCGUGCCUAAUACAUGCAAGUUGAGCGCUGAAGGUUGGUACUUGUACCGACUGGAUGAGCAGCGAACGGGUGAGUAACGCGUGGGGAAUCUGCCUUUGAGCGGGGGACAACAUUUGGAAACGAAUGCUAAUACCGCAUAAAAACUUUAAACACAAGUUUUAAGUUUGAAAGAUGCAAUUGCAUCACUCAAAGAUGAUCCCGCGUUGUAUUAGCUAGUUGGUGAGGUAAAGGCUCACCAAGGCGAUGAUACAUAGCCGACCUGAGAGGGUGAUCGGCCACAUUGGGACUGAGACACGGCCCAA